rnacentral:rRNA from 1 species
AGUCAACGUUGGCGGCGUGCGUAACACAUGCAAGUCGAACGAUCCUUAGGUGCUUGCAUCUAAGGAGAGUGGCGGACGGGUGAGUAACAUGUGAGUAAUCUGCCCUCGAGUGAGGAAUAACUUCGCGAAAGCGGAGCUAAUACCGCAUAACACCAUGGAGCAUAAGCUCUCAUGGUCAAAGCCUUCGGGCGCUUGAGGAUGAGCUUGCACCUUAUUAGCUAGUUGGUGGGGUAACGGCCUACCAAGGUUAUGAUGAGUAGCCGGCCUGAGAGGGUGUACGGCCACACUGGAACUGCGACACGGUCCAGACUCCUACGGGAGGCAGCAGUGGGGAAUUUUGCGCAAUGGGGGAAACCCUGACGCAGCGACGCCGCGUGGAGGAUUAAGGCCUUCGGGUUGUAAACUCCUGUCAGAGGUGAAGAAUGCCCCUUAGGGGGGUUUGACGGUAACCUCAGAGGAAGCCCCGGCUAACUACGUG